GACGAACGCUGGCGGCGUGCUUAACACAUGCAAGUCGAACGGUGAACCUCUUCGGAGGGGAUCAGUGGCGAACGGGUGAGUAACACGUGGGCAACCUGCCCCCGGCUCUGGGAUAACUCCAAGAAAUUGGGGCUAAUACCGGAUGUUCACCGCUUCCCGCAUGGGUGGUGGUGGAAAGGGUUUCCGGCUGGGGAUGGGCCCGCGGCCUAUCAGCUUGUUGGUGGGGUAGUGGCCUACCAAGGCGACGACGGGUAGCCGGCCUGAGAGGGUGACCGGCCACACUGGGACUGAGACACGGCCCAGACUCCUACUGGAGGCAGCAGUGGGGAAUAUUGCGCAAUGGGCGGAAGCCUGACGCAGCGACGCCGCGUGGGGGAUGACGGCCUUCGGGUUGUAAACCUCUUUCAGCAGGGACGAAGCGCAAGUGACGGUACCUGCAGAAGAAGCACCGGCCAACUACGUG
rnacentral:rRNA from 1 species